UUUGCUCAAGCACUGCGUGCCGCUGGCCUUGGGCCCGUUUAUGCCCCUCCUCACUAAGGCGGCUGAAGGCACGUGUGGAAGCCACCAGGUAGCAGCACUCCAUCCGCGCCCAACUGUGCGAAGCUUGCAGGUGCAAUGCGAGCACCGCACGGCCAUUGGCUACUGAGCUGCGCUGCGCGCGGUGAUUAGCAAGCUGAAGCGAGCAGUGGGACGGGCUGCCCUUCCCUUCGAGGCUGACCCUUCAGUCGAAGGAGGAAGCAGAAUUUCUGGCUGGCAGCGGCCCCGGGCUUCAGGUAGAGGAAGUUUCCUUGGUGCUAGUGUGGAAUUCUUCACUAAAGAGACAAAAUCUGCCAUGUUCUUCUCAUGAACACAGCAACUGCACAAGAUCAUUGCUCUAUAUCUGCAAGCAUCAGAUGUGUUUGUAAGUGAUGUGACUACCAGCAGCACCGGUUGAAAUUUCUGAGUACCACGCUGUAAGACCAGGCGUCAUGUGAGCGAUAGAGCAUCUGGGAACCCUGCGGACUGAGUGCCAGUGGUUUCUUUCAACCAGAGAACUGCAGUGUGCUUGCAGCACUGAGAAAUUUAUUCCCCUAGAUCCUCAUUAAGUAUUACGGUAACUUCUACUUUGCCUUUUAAAACUAAAAAUGGAGUGCAAAUCAUUCUUCUGAUCACUAUAGAAAUAGGCAAUUCCUAUAUUUGGAUUGGCGUGAAUUGAAAAUCCAAGCUAUUGGUCUAGCAGACUCAGAGUGAAGGACAGAAAAUACAAAUUAGAAUUACUGUGUUUCUUUCACAGGGAUUAGCCAUUUGUAAGAGAAAUUUCACGAUCUACAGUAGAUAUGGAGUACAGAUACAGAGUGUAUCUGUUGAAUUGUGGCAAUGUUUAAGUGCAAACAAAAUCUGUGAUAGAAAAGAAUAGUAUACUUCCAAGUGUUCAUGCUUUGCAAAUGGGCUAAAACAAUAAACAGAAUGCUAAAGUAAGAAUAAUAACCCCUGAAAGCAUACUGAGUUUGUAACUACCGACUGAAAUGUGCUGACUGUAUCUACUGGCCCAAUUUUGUUCUUAAUGUAUUCCCUGUUGCUUUACUUGUUUUGUUCCAUUGAAACAUCUAUGUCAUGGAGAAAAGUUGAAAAAUGUAAUGUGAACUGUAUGGUUCCAGCUGCUUGCUUAUUUUCUAAAAUGAUUUUUUUUUUAAGUUGAAGUUGAAUGCUUUUGUCUCUGCCUAUCACUGGUUGAUAUUUUUAUUCUAAGUGCAAAAUAAACUCCUGUUUGUUUAUUGUCAUUCUAGAACCAAGUGCUCUUAAUCAGAUUCAGAGCUCUCUGUAUGAUGCAA